UACGUAGGGGGCAAGCGUUAUCCGGAUUCACUGGGCGUAAAGGGAGCGCAGGCGGCACGGCAAGUCUGGUGUGAAAGCCCGGGGCCCAACCCCGGGACUGCAUUGGAAACUGCCGGGCUGGAGUGCCGGAGGGGUAAGCGGAAUUCCUGGUGUAGCGGUGAAAUGCGCAGAUAUCAGGAAGAACACCGGUGGCGUAGGCGGCUUACUGGACGGCAACUGACGCUGAGGCUCGAAAGCGUGGGGAGCAAGCAGG
rnacentral:rRNA from 1 species